GAGCAGAAGAUGGCUGUGCCACCCACGUAUGCCGAUCUUGGCAAAUCUGCCAGGGAUGUCUUCACCAAGGGCUAUGGAUUUGGCUUAAUAAAGCUUGAUUUGAAAACAAAAUCUGAGAAUGGAUUGGAAUUUACAAGCUCAGGCUCAGCCAACACUGAGACCACCAAAGUAACGGGCAGUCUGGAAACCAAGUACAGAUGGACUGAGUACGGCCUGACGUUUACAGAAAAAUGGAACACCGACAAUACACUAGGCACCGAGAUUACUGUGGAAGAUCAGCUUGCACGUGGACUGAAGCUGACCUUAGAUUCAUCCUUCUCACCUAACACUGGGAAAAAAAAUGCUAAAAUCAAGACAGGGUACAAGCGGGAGCACAUUAACCUGGGCUGCGACAUGGAUUUCGACAUUGCUGGACCUUCCAUCCGAGGUGCUCUAGUGCUAGGUUACGAGGGCUGGACUGGCGGGUUACCAGAUGAAUUUUGAGACUGCAAAAUCCCGAGUGACCCAGAGCAACUUUGCAGUUGGCUACAAGACUGAUGAAUUCCAGCUUCACACUAAUGUGAAUGACGGGACAGAGUUUGGCGGUUCCAUUUACCAGAAAGUGAACAAGAAGUUGGAGACCGCUGUCAAUCUCGCCUGGACAGCAGGAAACAGUAACACGCGCUUCGGAAUAGCAGCCAAGUAUCAGAUUGACCCUGACGCCUGCUUCUCGGCUAAAGUGAACAACUCCAGCCUGAUAGGUUUAGGAUACACUCAGACUCUAAAGCCAGGUAUCAAACUGACACUGUCAGCUCUUCUGGAUGGCAAGAACGUCAAUGCUGGUGGCCACAAGCUUGGUCUAGGACUGGAAUUUCAAGCAUAAA